CCCUUAGAUGUUCUGGGCUGCACGCGCGCUACACUGAUGUGUUCAUCGGGUUCGACCUUGCCCGGGAGGGUUGGGUAAUCCUUUCAAAACACAUCGUGAUGGGGAUAGAUUAUUGCAAUUAUUAAUCUUCAACGAGGAAUUCCUAGUAAGCGCGAGUCAUCAGCUCGUGCUGAUUACGUCCCUGCCCUUUGUACACACCGCCCGUCGCACCUACCGAUUGAAUGGUCCGGUGAAAUCUUCGGAUCUGAGAGAUGUCUGAUUAAUUUCGGACGCCUUUUGGAAAAGUUGUUUAAACCUUACCAUUUAGAGGAAGGUGAAGUCGUAACA
rnacentral:rRNA from 1 species